UUGAGAGGAAAUUGAGGCUAAUAAAAGCUUCCUUCCUCUGAAAACAACUCACUUCCCCGCUCUCCAAAACCCAGCGCUCUGCAGCCCCUGGAACCAGCAUUGCUGUUACCUGGAUUAAAACACACCAAAUUGGAGGCCUGUGCUCGGAUGGUUGCCUUGACCAGAGUUGUUGUUCUGUGCCUUCAAAUUAUUUCCGACUGAGCCAACAGCGUGAUGUGGCAGCUCAAAAAGCCAAUGCGAUUCUAAAGCAAAGGUUUCUCCUGACAUGAAGUCCAGUCGUGUCCACAUGAACGUGGGCACAGCAGCAGCUGCAACUCAGAAGCUUUCUCAUUUCUUUGCUUUUCCCCCUUCCUAACAUUGUAACUAAUCCUCCCAAUAAAAAGUAUCAAUUAAUUGUAA